rnacentral:piRNA from 1 species
UUCCCCUGUGAGUCGGUGGUAAGCUAGGU